rnacentral:misc_RNA from 1 species
UGAGAAAAGUGUAUAUGGCACUUGAAUAAUUACCAUACCCACCUUGUGUGCAAUGUUAGGGAUUAUUUAGAAAUAAAUUAUUAUUUUUUUUUUUUAAUCCCUUAUACAUCAACUCUUAUAAAAUUAAAUUGUCUGAAAAAUAUUAUGAAUACUUAAUUCAAAAUA